AUCUUUUGGAUGAAAGUUCUCAGUGUUCACUGUAAAGAACUUCAAUUACUUUACAUUUUUCAGGCUUCAGACCUGUUCUUUGCUAAGCAAAAAUGCCUAGAUGCGCUGAACCUAUGUUUUAAGUAGGUGUUGGAAGGUCAAAAGUGAGAUGUCUACCUGAGCCUAGUGGCCCAUUGGGUUACUGGGGUUAAAUUGCACUAGGUUCUGUAGCCAAGAGCACACAAAGGAGUGAUGCUGCCAUUCUCAUAUAUGGAUGUUUUUGACUCCCCAGCUUGAAUGGUCAGGUGCACAUUUCACAGCUGUGUCAGAUGGGGAAAGGCCAAGGAAACAAGUCUGGACCAAGCUUGAAUUCACAUGUCUGGAACUGUAGCAAGGUACAUCAACAAAUGAAGAUGGGGUGGAGAUCCUAGAACAGCACAUUUACCACCACCAACAUCUAAUACUUCAGCAAGUGCCAGUCCUGAUUGACUGCUGGGGACAGCAUAAGGAGUGGGGGUGUUACAGGAGCUGCCCAGGGAAGCCAGAAGAGGCAUUAGUUGGCAUGAAUACCUACGGUCCACAAUGGGAUUAUGCCAACCCCUGCACUGGAUCAGUGUAGAAGAGAAGAUGAAUCUUUGCUCAUCCUUUUUCUAUACUUAUGCAGGAUCAAGGACAAUGAAAUACAUGAUGUAGUGCAGAAUGAAUGAGAGAGUUUAUAGCCUUAACUUGGAAUGUUCUUUCUAUUGUAGGCGUAAUUCAAAACUAUGUCAUUAUAUGAAUAUAGGGGGUUUUAAAAUAUCGGUGUCUUAUUGUAAACAGAUGCUUGAGCCACUUUGAUGUUAAUGAGAAGGCUCUUUACACCCACAUACAACACAAUGAUUGGUUUUAGAAGUCUGGAGGCCUAAUGUCUCUUAAGCUACAGAAAUACUGUAACAAUCAUUAUUCUGUGUCAGGCCAAAAUUACCUUGUAGGAGCAUUGCAUAAUGUCUAGUAUAUUAAUCAUUAGAGAUAUUUUUGCAGCACUCAAUUACAUUAUGAAGGCUGGGUUAUGUUCUGAUCUUUCUAAUGGUCACAUGUAAAGUACUAAAGCCUCUAUUAUUUUAUAAUAAGUAAUGCAUAUCCGACAGAAUAAUGCAUUAUGCACAUCCUCUCCUAUAUGACUGUAAAGGUCAGCUAGGAACUUGAACAUUUUUGUCCUCCAGAACAUUUCACUUAAAGAGUUCAUUAGAAAGAAUGCCUUUAUCUUUUUUACUAUAUUCUAACAGCAUGCUCAAGUUUUGAUUAUUUUAUUUUCUACAAAGUAAAAUUGAAGGAACACAGACAAUAGGCACAUUCACUUUGGGUUAUCAAUUUAAAAGUGUUUCAGAAUCAAACUAAGCUAGUCCUUACUGUGUGGACAUCAUAAAGGAAGUGCCUGGACUACUGCAAAUGACUUCAGGUUCAGAUUCCAAAUGCUAAUGUAAUGACUGAGACACCAAUAAAUACUGCUCUAAUUUGAGGACUGUGGGAUCACUAAGAUUUCUGACAGGUGUUCAUUUAAAGCCGUGAUGGGAUCUGCAAUCCUAACAAUCAUGCCUCCUGUCAUGCCACACGUAGUGGCAGGAAGCGCAAUUUUGAAUUGGGGAUCAGAUCCCAAUCGUGCCCUACUUGCCAGUGCAGGGGGAGCCUAGGAUCAUGAACAUGAUCCUCCUCCACUGGUUAGUUGAAAGCCAGGUGUCUGAAAGUCAGCUGAUCGUCAGCCAGCUCUGAGACCACACUGGGGCUGGUUGGAUAUCCUAGUGCAGUUUUAAACCCUGCCACAUGCUCAUUUUAAGGUUCAAUGGAAACCAGCCACAGCCAUAUUACACAUUUUUUGUGUAAUAUUUUAAUGGCUCGUUUCCCUUUUUGGGGCAUCAUUAAUUGCUGAAUGUGUGGCUGGGUGACUAUUUAAGAUAUAAUUGAUGUCUGCCAGGAGCCUAAGAGGGUUCAAUUUAAUACUAAUUACUAUAUCCAGCAAAAAUGUACAUUUAGGUUUGUAGAAACCCUGUAAUAAGCUUUAGUCACUAUCAAAAGCUAAGUCUUAUUUCAAAAUCAUCAAACUCCUUACACAUAGCACUAAAAUAAUAUUGGUCAGAGCUCCAAUGUGAAAUGACAGGCCUGUUGAAAAUCUCUGGGUUAGGGUCAGAGCAACAAGGGUGAUGUUGUAGUGGGUGUCUGCUAUAGACCAGGAAGAUGAGGUGAACAAGGCUUUCUUCAAACAGGCAAUAGAAGUUUUCUGAUAACAGACCCUGAUUUUCAUGGGGGACUUCAAUCACCAUGACAUCUGCAAGCAAUCCAGGAAGUUUCUGGAGAGUGCCGGAGACAAUUUUCUGGUGCAAGUGUUGGAGAGGCCAAGUAGGGGCCAUGCUGUUCUUAACCUGCUGCUCACAAACACGGAAGAAUUGUUGGGGAAUGUAGAGGAGAAUGGCAACUUGGGCAGCAGCAACCAUGAGAUGGUUGAGUUCAGGAUCCUGAGGAAAGGAAGGAUGGAGACCAGCAGAGUAAGGACCCUGGACUUCAGAAAAGCAGACUUUGGCUCACUCAUUAAAAUGGUGAGCAGGGAGGCCUGUCUGAGGAGUCCAGGAGAGCUGGUUGUAUUUUAAAGAAACCUUACUGAGAACACAGGAAUGAACCAUCCCUAUGCACAGGCAGACUAGCAAGUAUGACCAGCGUGGCUUAGCAGGGAAUUCUUCAGUAAGGUAAAACACAAAUAAGGAACCUUAUAAGAAAUGGAAGCUUUGACAAACAACUAGGGAGGGGUAUAAUAAUAUUGCUUGGGCAUGCAGGGAUGAAAUCAGGAAGGCCAAAGUGUAACUGGAUUUGCAGCCAUCAAGGGAUGUGAAGUGUAAAAAGGAGGGUUUCUAGAAGUAUGUCAGCAAUAAGAAGAUCAGGGAAAGUGUGGGUCCCCUAUUAAAUGAGGGAGGCAACCUAGUGACAGAUGUUAUGGAAAAGACUAGAGUGCUCAAUGCCUUUUUCACCUCAGUUUGCAAAGACAGUCAGCUCCCAGACUACUGGGAGCACAGUAGGGGAGGGGGUGAGUAGCUAACAGUGGAAAAAGAACAGGUUCAGGAACAUUUAGAAAAGCUGGAUGUGUACAGGUCCAUGGGGCCACACACGGUGCACCUGAGGGUGCUGAGGGAGCUGGACACUCUGAUUGCAGAAACACUGGCCAUUAUCUUUAAAAACUCAUGGUGAUUGGAAAGAUUCCAGAUGAUUGGAAAAGAGCAAAUAAUAGUGCCCAUCUUUAAGACAGGGAAGAAGGAGGAUCUGGAGAAAUACAGACUGAUCAGCUUUACUGAAAAAUCAUAGACCAGGUUCUCAAGGAAUUAAUUCUUAAGCACUUGGAGGAAAAAAAGGUGAUUAGGAACAGUUGGCACAGAUUCACCAAAGGCAAGUCAUACCUGACCAACCUGAUUGUCUUCUAUGACAAGAUGACUGGCUCUUUAGAUACAGGUAGAGCAGUGGAUGUGAUAUACCUUCACUCUUGCAAGGCUUUUGAUAGGUUUCCCACAACAUUCUUGGAAGCAAGCUAAGGAAGUAUGGGCUGGAUGAAUGUAAGAUGGAUAGAAAACUGGCUGGAUCAUCAGGGUCAGAGAGUAGUAAUCAAUGCCUGGAUGUCUAGUGGGCAGCUGGUAUCAAGUGGAGUGGCCCAGGGGUCAGUUCUGGGGCCAUUUUUGUUCAAUAUCUUCUUCCAUGACCUGGAAGAUGGCACAGAGUGCACUCUCAGCAAGUUUGCAGAUAACACCAAGCUGGGGGGAGUGGGCUAGGAUUCAGAGAGCCCUUGACAAAUUGGAAGAUUGAACCAAAAGAAAUCUCAUGAGAUUCAGUAAGGACAAGUGCAAAGUCCUGCACUUAGGAUGAAACAAUCUCAUGCACUGGUACAGGCUGGGGCUGACUGGCUAGGAACCAGCUCUGCAGAAAAGGCCCUGGAGGUUACAGUGGACAAUAAGCUGAAUAUGAGCUAUCAGUGUGCCCUUGUUGUGAAGAAGGCUAACAGCAUACUGGGCUGCAUUAGUUGAAGCACUGCCAGCAGAUUGAGGGAAGUAAUAAUUCCCUGCUAUUUGGCAAUGUGAGGCCACAUCUGAAGUACUGUGUCCAGUUUUGGGCCCCCACUACAAAAAGGAUGUGGACAUCCCAGAAAACCCAGGCCUCUGCUUAUGAGGAGAGGCUGAGGGAACUGGGCUUAAUUAGUCUGGAGAAGAGAAGACUGAGGGGGGAUUUAAUAGCCUUUAACUACCUGAAGGGGGUUCCAAAGAGAAUGGAGCUACACUGUUCUCAGUGGCAGCAGAUGACAGAACAAGCGGCAGUGGUCUCAAGUUGCAGGAAGGGAAGUUUAGGUUGGAUAUUAGGAAAAACUUUCUCACUAGGAGGGUAGUAAAGCAGUGGAACAGGUUACCCAGAGAUGUUGUGGAGUCUCUAUCCUUGGAGGUUUUUAAGACCCAGCUAGAUAAAGCCUGGCUGGGAUAAUAUAGUUGGGGCUGGUCCUGCUUUUAGCAAGGGGUUGGACUAGAUGACUUCCUGAAGUCCCUUCCAACCCUAAUUUUCUAUGACUCUAUGAAAAUAUUUAUUUCAAAAGUAUUUAAUUAAAAUGUUAAUAUCUUGUCCUAUUUAAAUUAUAUCGAACCUUUUGCCUUUUUUCACAAAUACAAUCUUACAGUUUAAGUUCUGGCUUUGAAAUGUUUUUAUAAUCAAUGUAUUUAGAGACAUGUACAUAGGAAAA